UUCCCCAACCAGGGAUUGAACCCACACUCCCUGCAUUGGAAGGCAGAGUGUUAACCGCUGGACCACCAGGGA
rnacentral:tRNA from 1 species